rnacentral:rRNA from 1 species
UACGAAGGGGGCUAGCGUUGUUCGGAAUUACUGGGCGUAAAGCGCACGUAGGCGGAUAUUUAAGUCAGGGGUGAAAUCCCCGGGGCUCAACCUCGGAACUGCCCUUUGAUACUGGGGUAUCUUGAGUAUGGAAGAGGUAAGUGGAAUUGCGAGUGUAGAGGUGAAAUUCGUAGAUAUUCGCAGGAACACCAGUGGCGAAGG